UACGUAGGGUGCAAGCGUUGUCCGGAAUUAUUGGGCGUAAAGAGCGUGUAGGCGGCCCGAUUAGUCCGCUGUGAAAGCCCACGGCUCAACCGUGGAGGGUCAUUGGAAACUGGGGGACUUGAGUGCAGGAGAGAAGAGUGGAAUUCCACGUGUAGCGGUGAAAUGCGUAGAGAUGUGGAGGAACACCAGUGGCGAAGGCGACUCUUUGGCCUGUAACUGACGCUGAGGCGCGAAAGCGUGGGGAGCAAACAGG
rnacentral:rRNA from 1 species